UACGUAGGGUGCAAGCGUUGUCCGGAAUUAUUGGGCGUAAAGAGCUCGUAGGCGGUCUGUUGCGUCGGCUGUGAAAACCCGGGGCUCAACCCCGGGCCUGCAGCCGAUACGGGCAGACUAGAGUUCGGGAGAGGGAAGCGGAAUUCCGGGUGUAGCGGUGAAAUGCGUAGAUAUCCGGAGGAACACCGGUGGCGAAGGCGGCUUCCUGGACCGACACUGACGCUGAGGCGCGAAAGCUAGGGGAGCAAACGGG
rnacentral:rRNA from 1 species